CCUACGGGAGGCAGCAGUGGGGAAUAUUGGGCAAUGGAGGAAACUCUGACCCAGCGACGCCGCGUGCGGGAUGAAGGCCUUCGGGUUGUAAACCGCUUUCAGUAGGGAAGAAGCGAAAGUGACGGUACCUACAAAAGAAGCACCGGCUAACUAUGUGCCAGCAGCCGCGGUAAUACAUAGGGUGCAAGCGUUGUCCGGAAUUAUUGGGCGUAAAGAGCUCGUAGGUCGUUUGUUACGUCGGAUGUGAAAACCUGAGGCUCAACCUCAGGCCUGCAUUCGAUACGGGCAAACUAGAGUUUGGUAGGGGAGACUGGAAUUCCUGGUGUAGCGGUGGAAUGCGCAGAUAUCAGGAGGAACACCAAUGGCGAAGGCAGGUCUCUGGGCCAAUACUGACACUGAGGAGCGAAAGUCUGGGGAGCGAACAGGAUUAGAUACCCUGGUAGUCCAGACCGUAAACGGUGGGCACUAGUUGUGGGAACCUUCCACGGUUUCUGCGACGCAGCUAACGCAUUAAGUGCCCCGCCUGGGGGAGGUACGAGUCGCGAGAAGUUAAACGUACAAAUAGAAGUUAAGUACGGCGUUGAGUACGUUGCCGAACGGCGACGACGAGGGAGGAGG
rnacentral:rRNA from 1 species